UGCGAUCAUACCAGCACUAAUGCACCGGAUCCCAUCAGAACUCCGCAAUUAAGCGUGCUUGGGCGAGAGUAGUACUAGGAUGGGUGACCCCCUGGGAAGUCCUCGUGUUGCA
rnacentral:rRNA from 1 species